rnacentral:rRNA from 1 species
AGCAGCCGCGGUAAUUCCAGCUCCAAUAGCGUAUAUUAAAGUUGUUGCAGUUAAAAAGCUCGUAGUUGAAUUUCGGGAUCAAUAUAUCGGUCAUGCUUAGGUAUGUACUGGUAUUAUUGAUUUCUCCCUUCUGAAGAACCAUGAUGUCAUUAAUUUGAUGUCGUGGGGAAUCAGGACUGUUACUUUGAAAAAAUUAGAGUGUUUAAAGCAGGCAUACGCUUGAAUACAUUAGCAUGGAAUAAUGAAAUAGGACGUUUGAUUCUAUUUUGUUGGUUUCUAGGAUCGACGUAAUGAUUAAUAGGGAUAGUUGGGGGCAUUAGUAUUCAAUUGUCAGAGGUGAAAUUCUUGGAUUUAUUGAAGACUAACUACUGCGAAAGCAUUUGCCAAGGAUGUUUUCAUUAAUCAAGAACGAAAGUUAGGGGAUCGAAGACGAUCAGAUACCGUCGUAGUCUUAACCAUAAACUAUGCCGACUAGGGAUCGGAUGAUGUUAAUUUUUAAUGACUCU